CUGAAACCGUUAACUUUUCAGGAUUUUCGUAAGGUUAUCCUAUAGAUAGGUUAAGUUUGUUUUAUGGUAAUUCUGAAAAAGUACGCGUUUCUGAGAAAAACCAAAUUAUGACUAACGAAAAUGCGGAAAAACAAUACAUUAUGACUUAAAACUUUAUGGGAAACUCUGGUUUGAGUCAUUCAAACGCUUUACAUUUUCAGUUUUUGGUGUCUGUUAAAAAAUACUUUGAGAUUUAUAUCGUCUAGUAUACGUUCAGUGUCAUAUUCAAGUAAUUAUACAAUACUUACUUACAGAAUAUAAGCGCUUAGCAUUCGCUUUUACAUCCCGCUCUUUUAGUCACAUAUUAAAGGUAAAAUUUAGUUUGAUAACAAAAGUACAUAAGCAAGUUUAACAUGUCAAUGUGUGCAUAAACAAGAGUUUAUCAUUUAUAUGCGGCUAUAAGGGCAUUUAAUAUGUUAAUAAAAUUAAAAUUUUAGAUUUAAAUAAGCUGUAUAAACUCAUUAUAAAAUCGUUAAUAAUAAUACAGGGGAAAAUUAUAAUCAAAAGCAUAGACAAAAUAAUACUGACUCGUCAAGUAGAGUUAGGCCAAGAAAAGUCUGCAGCGAUUUUGAUAGCCCACGCAGUGCAAGUGUUAUUUAUACGUCAUAAUUUCAUAGAAGUUUGACGUUUAGAAUAGCACUUACACUGUGUGGGCUAUCAAAAUCGCUGCAGACUUUUCUUGGUCUAACUCUAGUAGUAUAGCCGUAACGACGGUGUAAGUAGAUGGCGCUGUCCGGUUUUAUGAUCACUGGAUUGACAAACGUUUGCGCUUGACAACAUACUUACUGCGUCAUUAUUGCAACGCCAUCUACCUCAGCUGUCAAAUUUGAGGCUAUAAAGUUUUUCAUUUCGUAUUUUAGUAUUAUUUUGUCUAUGUUGAAAACUAUGGAACAGCCCCAAGAAGUUAAAUAUUUUUAGUCUAAACUUAUAAAGCAACGUACCACGUUUACAAGAAUAGUAAAUAGUUCAAAUAGAAAGGCGCUUUUCCAUCUUUUUAUAGAAACAAAUCGGCCUUAUUAUUAUAAAGAAUAGCUUCAUAUUGCACUAUAAGUAACAUCAAGUAAGAAAUCAGUCUAUUUAAAUCAACAUUUUAAACUAUGUAUGUAGGUUUUUAAAUACAAAUUUUGUCAUGAAAACAUUGUUUUACAAACCGAAAUAAAUGCCAUAUAAGGUAGAAGUACUAGUGCUCGACGCUGCACUAGUAUUCGACAUGGGCACUUUAUGUCAAAGUGACAAGGAUUAAAUUUGAAUACAAAAAAUCUUCGCUGUUAAAAUUUAACCUAUAUAUUACUCUGACAUAAAGUGCCCAUGUCGAAUACUAGUGCAGCGUCGAGCACUAGUACCUACCUUACCUACGAAGAAAAAAUGACCAAGGCCUCCAGAAACCAUUCACAAAUAAUUUAUUAAGCUGUUUCUUAAAGUUAAAACAUUGUUUAAUCAAGUAUUUUCUCGUUUAUGACAUUAAAUUUUUUACAUAAUCCCGAGGCAACGGAUUAUUUCACAUUCCACAACUUUAAUACUCUAUUAUCAAUAAUGCAUAAUGGCAAUGACAUAGACUAGAAAAUAGUUGAUCAUUGAUACCAAUAACAUUUUAAUGACUUUAAGUUUUUUUACCUACUUAUAUUAAUUUCGAGCAUCGACAAUGCAUUUUGCUCAAUUUAUUUUAUUGGCGAUAACACCAAAUUCAACAUUACAGUAGAAUAUUAAAUGUGAUUUUAGUAUUUUUAGCGAAACUAUCGGUCGGUACUAGAGAUGGGCCGAAUAUUAAUUGAAUCCUAUCCGUCCAUUAAUCACAUCAAACAAAAUUUCGAUUUUUUAGACUCCCUCCCCCUUCCGCCUUCUACCCCCUUGGCAUGAUCCCCUCUCCCCCAGUUGCUGUGACGUAAUACACAUUCAUCUCAUCCCUAACAUUCUUUUGCCUAUAUGGCAUUCAUUCAUCCCUCCUCAUUACAUGCCCAUAUAAUAAAUGUAUUAGUACAGAUGUUAAAUGUGAACCGAAUAAUUCGGUCGAAUAUUCGAGUCAAUCUUGAUUUUGACGACCGGUCUGGCCUAGUGGGUAGUGACCCUGCCUAUGAAGCCGAUGGCUACCGGGUUCGAAUCCUGGUAAGGGCAUUUAUUUGUAUGAUGAUACAGAUAUUUGUUCCUGAAUCAUGGUUGUUUUCUAUGUAUUUAAGUAUUUAAACAUUAUAUAUAUCGUUGUCUGAGUACCCACAACACAAGCCUUCUUGAGCUUACCGUGGGGCUUAGUCAAUUUGUGUAAGAAAUGUCCUAUAAUACCUAUUUAUUUACCUAUUUGUCCUAUAAUACCUAUUUGAUGGGUACUCUGUCCAUCUCUAGUUUUUACAUUGGAUGUGGAACCACUGAGGAGGUUUCACUAGGCACAGAAUUGUAGUUGUCACGUUACGUACACGUUAGUAAGUAGACGACAAAUAGAAAAGUGAUAAUUAUUGUUGUAUGUUGGUAGUGGCACAUAGGUUUAGAUGGCCAACGGAAGACAUUAUAUAGAAUAUAGUAAUGUGUAUCAAAAACUGUAAGCUAUAUUUAAACAUUGAAUUAUUAUUACUACCACAGACAAAACAUUUUCCAGACUGAGCAUAGUCGCGCUCCCCCUCUGCCACGCAUACGGUAAUUUUACUCCAUGUUCGAGUCGAAAGUGUCUUUGUGUGACGUCCGUGUCUUUGAACGGACCAAUCACGGCACGGGACUUCGCUCACCUCGUCCCACGCAGCCCCGCAUUUUUGGCAUCAUCGGUUGCAUGAAAUAAUUGCUCUAAACUCGGUCUAGAGUUCCUAGUCUAUGAUUACUACGUAUAGAAUCGGCACUGAGAAUCAGUAUUUUGCGGCAUGAGUUGUUGUUUUGACAAACCAUAGAAGCGGAGCGUGAGUCUCGCGACCUAAACGCGUAAGCGCCAUGAAUUUUACGGCACUUGCGAGGUUUUGGUCGUGAGGUACAGGUUGUGGUUACGACAAUUUCAUAGUUUGGUAUGGCUUAUUCUCCAUUGUAAUAAUAACUCAAUGUAUUUUAACUAUUAUUUUGAUUUUGUGAAGUUUAGUUAGACUUUAGAAAAAGAUCUUGCCCUUCAAAAUGGAAAAUGACUUUGUUUGCUGUACAAAUUUUCAGAUAAAAACACAUUUCUAUUUAUGAUACCCUACAUGUGUAGCAUCUUUUAUUUAUAGUUACUUUUAUUACAAUAGUUGUUUUAAUAACAAAUAAAGUGAUAAUAAAAACAUGUUGAUUCUUUAGCGAUCGAUAUGCGACGUCAUUGUUUUCGUGGCAUAUUAAAAUACCCAUAUCCAAGGCUUGUCAGCUAAAGUGCCAAAUUAUUUGCCGUCGGUGCAAUGCUUAAAUGAAUAUUAUUGUUGUAUUUAUUUGUAAUUUUACAAUGUAUAAAUAAAUUAUAAAC